AGUCUUCUCAGCAGAGACUAGAAAGUCGUGCUUGCGUUAGAGAAAACACACCUCUUUUCUUUGGCAAAAAAUACAGCCUCGGUGGAUUAAGCUAGGGCCUCCAUCAACACACACAUCUGAAUGAGUUGCCCAGAAUGUGGGGAUUUGAGAGCACUCUGAUUAAGGGAGAUUGUUUUUUCCGCUGCAUCCAGGUGCUUGAACUCUCCAUACAGCUGGAGAUGGAACGGCAAAAGUCACUGGAGCUAGAAAUGGCAAAUCGAGCGCUGCAAGACCUGGUUCACCAAUAUCGCCCACAGGCCACUGCAGUGGGCUGUAGCCCAUUCUCACAGAAUAGAAGGUGGCACGAAGGAGGAGCCCCAAAAGAAAUGGGGCAGAAGCCAGAGCCCAGCCGCUUUGUUCCGGCAGCCUCUCAAAGCAGGCUAGAGGAGAUCAACGCCGCAGAAGCAAUGUUUAGAAAGCAGCAGAGGCAGAGAAUUGCAGCUCUGACAUCAGAAAUGGAGAGAGCCCAAAGCAUGCAUCAGGAGAGCUUGCGGCAAAUAGCACACUGGCAAGCAGGGCUAGACGUGUCAGAAAAACUGUUCCUGGUGGGUGAGGACAUUAGAAGAAGCCUUGCAAAUAAGUACGAUGAUCACUGGUGAACGUGAAGUCCGGCCUGCUGGGACCUCUCCUCAGAAUGCUCAAGAAGGACCUUCCACAAAAAUUAAUCAAGUCCGGGAUGCUGCGUUCAGGGCAACACAGUCAUACAACAGUGCUUUGAGCUAAACUUUUGAAGCUGAAAUAAAUACAUCCGACAGUU
ensembl:lncRNA